rnacentral:rRNA from 1 species
AACCUUACCUGGUUUAAAGUUCCACUGACCGCUAUAGAGAUAUAGUUUUCCUUCGGGACAGUGGUGACAGGUGCUGCAUUGCUGUCGUCAGCUCGUGUCGUGAGAUGUUGGGUUAAAUCCCGCAACGAGCGCAACCCUUGCCUUUAGUUGCCAGCAUUCAGUUGGGCACUCUAAAGUGACUGCCGACGUUAAGUCGGAAGAAGGUGAGGAUGACGUCAAGUCCUCAUGGCUUUUAUGUCCAGGGCUACACACGUGCUACAAUGGUCAGUACAAAAGGCUAGAGCAAAUCCGUGUGGCCAAGCUAAUCCCAAAAAACUGAUCUAAGUUCGGAUUGGAGUCUGCAACUCGACUCCAUGAAGGUGGAAUCGCUAGUAAUCGCAUAACAGCAUGAUGCGGUGAAUACGUUCCCGG